UACCUGCAGCUCAAGUGGUCUGGAAUAUUAUUGGGUCUAAAGCGUUCGUAGCCGGAUUUAUAAGUUCUCUGUGAAAUCUAACAGCUUAACUGUUAG
rnacentral:rRNA from 1 species